rnacentral:lncRNA from 1 species
GUUUGCAUUUGAGUUUGAAUUGUAAUUUUUCUUGCGAAUAUUUUCUAACUAGAACGAAGUUUGUCAGUUAGCUUUAGUUUGAUUGUUUCCAAUUCUGUUCUAUUCAUUGUUGUCCACGUACUAGUGGUAGUAUAAAUAUUUUCGUUCUGCUUAAAGUGUGAUGGCAGUACGGCAGAUCAUACAAGGAAUGCUGAGACAUGAAAUCACAUUCAUACCACUUGGGGAAUAUAUGGUCAUCCUAUGUUGAAAAUAAACUACAAGAUACUGAUUAUAUUAGUUAUAAUGGAUUUAUGCAAUAUGGCAGUAUAGCAGAUCUGUCAUGGCAUGCUGAGUAAUGAAUUGGCUUUCAGAACACUUGGGGAAAGUAUCCACACAGCAUGUUGAAAAUGGACGAGGAGAUACUGAUAAUAAUAAUGGAUAUAUGCAAUAUGGCAGCAGAGCAGAUUACACAGGGAAUGCUGAGAGAAGAAUUCACUUUCAUUCCACUUGGCGAAAAUAUCAACAUCCUAUGUAGAAAAUGAACUUCAAGAUACUGAAAUAAUAAUAAUACAAGAUUUGUGCAAUGGACGUGUAAUGGUUAUUGAAUAUGGCAGUACGGCAGAUCAUACAAGGAAUGCUGAGACAUGAAAUCACAUUCAUACCACUUGGGGAAUAUAUGGUCAUCCUAUGUUGAAAAUAAACUACAAGAUACUGAUUAUAUUAGUUAUAAUGGAUUUAUGCAAUAUGGCAGUAUAGCAGAUCUGUCAUGGCAUGCUGAGUAAUGAAUUGGCUUUCAGAACACUUGGGGAAAGUAUCCACACAGCAUGUUGAAAAUGGACGAGGAGAUACUGAUAAUAAUAAUGGAUAUAUGCAAUAUGGCAGCAGAGCAGAUUACACAGGGAAUGCUGAGAGAAGAAUUCACUUUCAUUCCACUUGGCGAAAAUAUCAACAUCCUAUGUAGAAAAUGAACUUCAAGAUACUGAAAUAAUAAUAAUACAAGAUUUGUGCAAUGGACGUGUAAUGGUUAUUGAAUAUGGCAGUACGGCAGAUCAUACAAGGAAUGCUGAGACAUGAAAUCACAUUCAUACCACUUGGAGAAUAUAUCGUCAUCCUAUGUUGAAAAUAAACUACAAGAUACUGAUUAUAUUAGUUAUAAUGGAUUUAUGCAAUCUACGGAUGGCAGUAUAGCAGAUCUGUCAUGGCAUGCUGAGUAAUGAAUUGGCUUUCAGAACACUUGGGGAAAGUAUCCACACAGCAUGUUGAAAAUGGACGAGGAGAUACUGAUAAUAAUAAUGGAUAUAUGCAAUAUGGCAGCAGAGCAGAUUACACAGGGAAUGCUGAGAGAAGAAUUCACUUUCAUUCCACUUGGCGAAAAUAUCAACAUCCUAUGUAGAAAAUGAACUUCAAGAUACUGAAAUAAUAAUAAUACAAGAUUUGUGCAAUGGACGUGUAAUGGUUAUUGAAUAUGGCAGUACGGCAGAUCAUACAAGGAAUGCUGAGACAUGAAAUCACAUUCAUACCACUUGGGGAAUAUAUGGUCAUCCUAUGUUGAAAAUAAACUACAAGAUACUGAUUAUAUUAGUUAUAAUGGAUUUAUGCAAUAUGGCAGUAUAGCAGAUCUGUCAUGGCAUGCUGAGUAAUGAAUUGGCUUUCAGAACACUUGGGGAAAGUAUCCACACAGCAUGUUGAAAAUGGACGAGGAGAUACUGAUAAUAAUAAUGGAUAUAUGCAAUAUGGCAGCAGAGCAGAUUACACAGGGAAUGCUGAGAGAAGAAUUCACUUUCAUUCCACUUGGCGAAAAUAUCAACAUCCUAUGUAGAAAAUGAACUUCAAGAUACUGAAAUAAUAAUAAUACAAGAUUUGUGCAAUGGACGUGUAAUGAUGGCAGUACGGCAGAUCAUACAAGGAAUGCUGAGACAUGAAAUCACAUUCAUACCACUUGGAGAAUAUAUCGUCAUCCUAUGUUGAAAAUAAACUACAAGAUACUGAUUAUAUUAGUUAUAAUGGAUUUAUGCAAUCUACGGAUGGCAGUAUAGCAGAUCUGUCAUGGCAUGCUGAGUAAUGAAUUGGCUUUCAGAACACUUGGGGAAAGUAUCCACACAGCAUGUUGAAAAUGGACGAGGAGAUACUGAUAAUAAUAAUGGAUAUAUGCAAUAUGGCAGCAGAGCAGAUUACACAGGGAAUGCUGAGAGAAGAAUUCACUUUCAUUCCACUUGGCGAAAAUAUCAACAUCCUAUGUAGAAAAUGAACUUCAAGAUACUGAAAUAAUAAUAAUACAAGAUUUGUGCAAUGGACGUGUAAUGGUUAUUGAAUGUAAUUUAUAGUAAAUGAAUAGUUGUGAAACAAUUGAAAUUUGUUAAAAAUCUUAAUAAAAUAUUGGUAAACACCUUCAGCUUGGAAUUUUCGUUCUUAAAAUUUGCCAUAGCUAUAAAAAUGGUUUUAUUAUUACUUCACGUCUACAUGAUCAUUUUGAAGAAAAUCACCAAUUUCAUAUUUUACGGUAUUCAUAAAACAGUCAAUAUUAUGUUAGUGUCAUGAAACUCUGUCAAUUAGAUUAAGAAUAUGAUUCUAAUUUACCAUUGUUAACUUUCAUUUAUUUCAUUAACCCUGAUAUUUUAAAAACCCUAUAAAACAUGAUUUUAUAUGAUAAUUUUGACGAAUAUUGUAAAUUCCAAUUUUUUACUGCAUAUAAAACACUCAGUUAUCACAGGUUAGUGUGUUGAAACCUUGUCGUUUAGAUUAAGAAGAAAAUGGUUCCAUUAUACCAUUAUUAACUUUCUUAUGUUUCAUUUAACACGAUGUUUUAAAAACACUGAAAAAUAUGUUUUCGUAUGGUAACUUUGACUGAAAUUACAAAUUUAUAUUUUUUCCAUAUUAAAAUGCAGCAUUUCUAAGUUAUUCAAACAGCGCAUUCCUUAGUUGAAUUUAUUUUACAUUCAAAUUCAACAAAACAUCGGAGUAUUUUUCUACUAUCUUUUGUCGCUUAUCAUGAUUAUUAUUUCUUAUCAUCUGUUAUAAGUUUAUCUUUCGUAUUAUUAUCUUCUUUCAGUUUUACUUUCGUAUUUGCAUUUGAGUUUGAAUUGUAAUUUUUCUUGCGAAUAUUUUCUAACUAGAACGAAGUUUGUCAGUUAGCUUUAGUUUGAUUGUUUCCAAUUCUGUUCUAUUCAUUGUUGUCCACGUACUAGUGGUAGUAUAAAUAUUUUCGUUCUCCUUAAAGUGUGAUGGCAGUACGGCAGAUCAUACAAGGAAUGCUGAGACAUGAAAUCACAUUCAUACCACUUGGAG